CUGAUUUAAACUGAAGAGUUUGAUCAUGGCUCAGAUUGAACGCUGGCGGUAUGCUUAACACAUGCAAGUCGAACGGUAACAGGCCUUCGGGCGCUGACGAGUGGCGGACGGGUGAGUAACGCGUAGGAAUCUGCCUUAUAGUGGGGGACAACGUGGGGAAACCCACGCUAAUACCGCAUACGCCCUACGGGGGAAAGGAGGGGAUCUUCGGACCUUUCGCUAUGAGAUGAGCCUGCGUUAGAUUAGCUAGUUGGUAGGGUAAAGGCCUACCAAGGCGACGAUCUAUAGCUGGUCUGAGAGGACGAUCAGCCACACUGGGACUGAGACACGGCCCAGACUCCUACGGGAG
rnacentral:sRNA from 1 species